UGAGCAGGGUAGUUUUGCUUUAUACUUUCAUAGAGAGGAUUAGAUUAUAACCGGAUAACUUAUAUUUUGGACUUCUUUGUGAUUUUUUUUUUUGUCUCAGUCAAUCAGCUAGAUAGAAAGCAUUUAUCUGUGCACCUAGCUAGUUUCAAAGGGAUAAAUAGUUCACCUAAUAUUUCACAUCAUGAGCUAAAAAAUGGAGUUGAUUCUCUGUGUUGGGCUUGUCAGUAUGUUCAGGUAAAAAUGAAAUGUAUUUGUGUGGCCAUGUCACAAAUGAGUCAUUCUUGCAUCUUAUAGAGGUCAUGAGGAGGAAUGGACAGCUAGUCUUACUGAAACCACAUGGGGCAGGUUGCUUUUUGUUGUCAUCCAUUUCCUAGAACACAGAUGGAGAAAUUUGCAGUUUUCCAGGACCUUCUAUCACAGCCACUUGAAGUAUUCCCAAGAAGAAAGUUCUACAUUUCAGCUCCCUUCAGAUGAAAGUCAUCCCUGUCCCCUACUCCAGUGACAAACAUUCAACAAUGAAGCCGAUAUAGCCAUUAUUGUACUUGUAAUGAAGCUGUGUUUCAAUACAGGGGAUACGCAGGUUCAAAAGGAGAUGUCAGAAGAACAAGAUGAUGGAGCAGUGGCAGGCAUGACCAGAGGCUGUGAUUAUGUCAACAACAAAAGCAAACUUGAAGAAGAAGAACAAAGCUUAGCAGUUAAAGAUGUCUCAGUACACGGAUGGGCACCUUGAAUUCUCUGCAUCUCAACUUGAAAUCCUAGUGACUGACAGGACAAUUGCACUGAUCACAUUACUCAUAUGACAUGCCCAUUUUGAGAAUGUUUCCCUACUGCUAGGGUAUGUCUCAGCU
rnacentral:lncRNA from 12 species